UACGAGGGGUGCAAGCGUUGCUCGGAAUUAUUGGGCGUAAAGGGUUGGUAGGUGGUCUUGUUUGUCUAAGGUGAAAUCCCAUGGCUUAACUGUGGAAGUGCCUUAGAAACGGCAAGACUAGAGUCCUAGAGGGGUUUGUGGAAUUCCCGGUGUAGCGGUGAAAUGCGUAGAGAUCGGGAGGAACACCAGCGGCGAAGGCGGCAAACUGGAUAGGAACUGACACUCAACAACGAAAGCGUGGGGAGCAAACAGG
rnacentral:rRNA from 1 species